GUCGAGGGGCAACGGGGAUGUUAGCUUGCUAAUAUCUGCCGGCGACCGUGCGCACGGGUGAGUAACGCGUAUGCGACCUGCCCGUCACAGGGGGAUAAUCCGGAGAAAUCCGGUCUAAUACCGCAUAAUAUCGUGAAGCUGCAUGGUUUUGCGAUUAAAGGAGCGAUCCGGUGACGGAUGGGCAUGCGUGACAUUAGCUAGUCGGCGGGGUAAUGGCCCACCGAGGCGACGAUGUCUAGGGGUUCUGAGAGGAAGGUCCCCCACACUGGUACUGAGACACGGACCAGACUCCUACGGGAGGCAGCAGUGAGGAAUAUUGGUCAAUGGGCUUACGCCUGAACCAGCCAAGUCGCGUGAGGGAAGACUGCCCUAUGGGUUGUAAACCUCUUUUGUCAGGGAGCAACGCCGGCUACGUGUAGCCGGACUGAGAGUACCUGAAGAAAAAGCAUCGGCUAACUCCGUGCCAGCAGCCGCGGUAAUACGGAGGAUGCGAGCGUUAUCCGGAUUUAUUGGGUUUAAAGGGUGCGUAGGCGGAAUGCCAAGUCAGCGGUAAAAUCGCGGGGCUCAACCUCGCUCCGCCGUUGAAACUGGCGUUCUUGAGUGGGCGAGAAGUAUGCGGAAUGCGUGGUGUAGCGGUGAAAUGCAUAGAUAUCACGCAGAACUCCGAUUGCGAAGGCAGCAUACCGG
rnacentral:rRNA from 1 species